rnacentral:rRNA from 1 species
CGCAAGCCUGACGGAGCCAGACCGCGUGUGGGAAGAAGGCUCUUGGGCUGUCAACCACUUUUCUCAGGGAAGAAGUUCUGACGGUACCUGAGGAAUCAGCCUCGGCUAACUCCGUGCCAGCAGCCGCGGUAAUACGGAGGAGGCAAGCGUUAUCCGGAAUCAUUGGGCGUAAAGCGUUCGUAGGCGGCUGUUCAAGUCUGCUGUCAAAGACCGAGGCUCAACCUCGGGUCGGCAGCGGAAACUGGAUAGCUAGAGGUCGGUAGGGGCAAAGGGAAUUCCCAGUGUAGCGGUGAAAUGCGUAGAUAUUGGGAAGAACACCGGUGGCGAAAGCGCUUUGCUGGACCGAACCUGACGCUGAGGGACGAAAGCUAGGGGAGCG